UACAUGUUAUAAUUUAUACCAAAACGACUUACUGUGGUAAUGGGAUCACGACUUAGCUUCUGUCUGAAAACUUAAGACGAUAAGUGAACAGAAUCUACAGACUGAGACUGUUUAGUCGAGGGAACAAAGGCAGCAAUUCAUAAAACCCACCCGUUAAUGCAUGUUAUAUACCAAUAACUGAUGAUUUACCGUGUUCAUCGGAUCUCGACUUCUGUCUGAAAACUUUAGACGAUGUGCGAAGAGAAUCUACAGACUGAGACUGUUUAGCCAAGGGUACAAAGGCCGCAGUUCAUAUAACACAUCAUCAAUGCACGUUAUAUACCAAUAAUUGCCGGAUGAUACACCGUGCGGGGUAAGUGUUCAUCAAAUUACGACUUCUGUCUGAAAACUUUAGACGAUAUGCGAACAGAAUCUACAGACUGAGACUGUUUAGCCAAAGAGAUAAAAGCUGCAAUACAUAUAAUACACCAAUGAAUAAAGGCUCUGAGUAGCUUAUCAAAACUGGUCAUCGAAAGGAAAGUUCGAAGAGAGUGAAAGGAAUUAAUCAGUUGUUGCUGUCCGGCGUUACUACAAAAUCUACAUCAAGACACGCACAGACUGCAUACACUCUUUUCUUUUUAUAAAAAUACAUUUUAUAAGAAAAUCGAGGCAGAAAUUCGCUGAAAAAAAAAUAAUUUUUGUGUUGAAAAUUGGUAGAUACAGUACAAUUACGUAUGUUUUUAAGUGAACCGUAUAAAAAUAUUCCUUUCUCAAAACGGCAAAACUAGCCAAAAACAGCUCUGGCCGUAUGUUCUAUGUUCGAGGCUAAUAACAUUAUUUUGUGCGACAAGUUGUGGGUGCGAUAUCAGGCUUCAUUGCCUGCAGUCUGGCUCCAAAAUUACUUCAACGCAAUCGAAGUCAUGUCAGGACACAUAAUCUGACGUUGUGUCAGUAUAGUAAUCCAAGAAUAUUCACAAGGAAAAUUUCAGCCUAAAAUCGGCAGAAAAAUAAGAAUAUUCAGCCUGGGUCGGAAAAACAAUAUUCUCAUAAAAAAGAAUGUAUAUGGCAUCCCUGUGGACAGCUCCAGAAACCGGGAUAAGCUCCGGCAGCUAUGAGUCUGUCAGCUCCAAGGCUUCACUCUUGGACAGCUCCACUGUUCCUAGACUUUUUACCUAACAAACGAAAAAUUCAUGUUGAAUAAAACCUUGGAUUAUCAAGAUUCGUGUCAUUCAUGAAGGAAAUAAAGUGCUGAAGCUGAGAUUACUGAGAGCUUGAUCGUAUGAUGUCUGGGUGGAGAAGACUACAUGUGCAUGGAGUGAGAUAGGUAAGAUAGGAUUGGCGUUGGAGAGGUCAAAACGUUUGGAAUGAAGAAGUAAAAUUUACUAUGUAGUGUUCAUAAGGUGUUCCAAAAUUCACCUUGAAUUUUCAAGAUUGCGCACCUUCUUAAAAGAUGAUGCACUAGACUUUUAAUGGUGAUCGAGAGGAUGGUUGAGCCAAACAUGUUUGAGUGAAAUUUGUGACUUAGUUAUUUCGAAUUUUCUCCACAUUUAGUUUAGGAAAUUAAAUCUUGAAGAGCCAGGUUGUGGUAUUUCUCCCAUUAGUGACUAGCUAGCUAUAAUUCAUGCAUGCUUUACCGACGGAACCUUGACCUUCUCCCUUUCACACGGGAGCACAUUGUCUCCCAUCUUCGUGAACCAAUCCUGAAACAAAAUCCCUAAGCAUGCACUGUCAUAUAUCUAGUAUCGUUUAGUAUGCUUAGUUAUCACAUGGUCUUAAGUGCCAGAUUUAUACAACACUCAAAGAAUGCUGUUUGCAAAAAGGAUAGAAAUAUAACGAUGCUUAGAUUUGACCUGGAUGCGACAGCGAUGUUAAAAACGCGCGCCGUUUAUUUUGAUCAGUAUUCAGACUUGAGUUGCCCGGCUUCGCGAAUCUCCUGCAGUUCAGCGGAAGAGAAUUUGGUCGACGAAAGGGAAUGUAUCACAAAAAAGGACAGAGGUUAAAGGAUAGUCGAUCGACAUCAGUGGGGAGAGAUCUAAGAAGCAAGGUGCUGUUUGGCUCAGACGCUAAUGUCCGACGUGUUACAGUACAGAGCGAGAAGUGAAUUCAGUCAUCCCUUGCCUUUUGAACUUUCCUCUCCAUACAAGAAGGAUAUUCAGAUUUACAUUUGCGGCAGGUACAGAGAUACUUUCACCAAUAAAUCGUCAAAUUUAAAGAUACUUUGAAACAACGUUAUAUCAGAUUUGUAACCUGUUGGAGGCUUUGUAGAGUGGUCAUGCCUUACACUUAUCAAUGUCGUGCAGUUAUUAACCGGCCAGAAAUAACUGAAUUUUGUUCAUAAACCUCACAAUCCAAAAUGCGCUAAUGGACGAAGCUUCUUUGGCGAAAUAAUAAAACGUAAUUUCCAUUUACUUUUAAACGCGUAUUGUAUGGCGAUAUCGCCCCCUCCAGUGUUUUAGGCAAUAAUUAUCACGCUUUCACAAACAGAACACACGACUAAAAUAAUUACAUUACAGACUCAGUCAUCUGUAAUCUACUGACCAUUAAAGUCAGCCUUACAUUCAACAACUUCAAUUUCGUAAUUUGCAAGGUUUAUUUCCUAUUAUACUCAAAAGGCGGUAGCUAUCGUAAUUUCAAUUGAUCUUGGACCGACCUUCGCUUAAUUUAGACGCGAAUUGUAUGUCCAACGGGGUUGGUUAUGUAAUAAUGUUUUUUUUAUAAAACUCGGUGGAAUAAUUCAUUUCACCUAGUUGUGCACUGAAUACUUGUAUAACUGCAGAAAAUGAAAUUUCUUAGACGUUUUCGCUUUUUCCUCCUUUGAUCCCUCGUGGGGCUUUUAACAAAAGAAGACUGAAACCCUUGAACGCACUUCUAUUCACCGAAAUUUUUCAGCGCUAGAUUUAGAAACUCUCAGUGUUGCCUAAAGCGACACGCUAUUUGGAAGUACUUAGCUAGCACGAUAUGCUACCUGAAAAAAAUAAGCUUAGUGAAAAAGGCUUGAAAUUGAUUAGGAAGUUGCGUCUGUUUCCUGCCCGAUUACUGUUUGGUUUAUGCUUUUCUGAAAUUCUUUUUGUCCGUUUUUUCCGGACCACGCAAACACCAAGCAACUAUAAAUAACACUACACAGGUUCCAUUCUACUCUACAAUCGUUAUUCCUACUCAUAAGCACGCUUUUCACUGAUAAUCUCUAUAGGUCUGAAAAUGGUGGUCACAUUUUCACUAGGAAUUCUUUUAUGUAUUGCAGGAACAUCCUUAGUAACUGCUCAAGGGAAUUUGCCAGUCGAUCCUCAAGACACAUCAGAAAAGGACACCGAUCCAACUGCUUCUGGAAGCCCAGACAAUCUCGAUCAACUAUAUCACACUUUGCACAGAUGGCAUGUUGCUCCACCCCCUGGCAAAAGAUCAGCGAUCGAGAGUAGCCUUGGAGCACGGAAUUUUAUCAGGGGGGGAAAUAUGUGGAAACUACUAAACCACCAGAGAUUCGAUGAAGAUUACUGAGCCGUUCGUCAAAAAUGAUCAAAUUUUAAACACACGUAGGACUUAAAGUUAAAAUAAAUUGACAAUUACAGAGAGACCGAGCUAACACUGCUGUAGUAUUUUGUUACAUGAGAUAAAUAAAAAAUUAGGUAUACAAAACCCUGAAA
rnacentral:lncRNA from 1 species